rnacentral:rRNA from 1 species
AACGAGCGCUGGCGGCAGGCUUAACACAUGCAAGUCGAACGCACCUUUCGGGGUGAGUGGCAGACGGGUGAGUAACGCGUGGGAAUCUACCCUUCUCUACGGGAUAGCUCCGGGAAACUGGAAUUAAUACCGUAUACGUCCUGAGGGAGAAAGAUUUAUCGGGGAAGGAUGAGCCCGCGUUGGAUUAGCUAGUUGGUGGGGUAAAGGCCUACCAAGGCGACGAUCCAUAGCUGGUCUAAGAGGAUGAUCAGCCACAUUGGGACUGAGACACGGCCCAAACUCCUACGGGAGGCAGCAGUGGGGAAUAUUGGACAAUGGGCGCAAGCCUGAUCCAGCCAUGCCGCGUGAGUGAUGAAGGCCCUAGGGUUGUAAAGCUCUUUCAGUGGGGACGAUAAUGACGGUACCCACAGAAGAAGCCCCGGCUAACUUCGUG